rnacentral:misc_RNA from 1 species
GUGAGUCAUCGAAUCUUUGAACGCACAUUGCGCCCGCUGGAAUUCCAGCGGGCAUGCCUGUUCGAGCGUCAUUUCAACCCUCAAGCCUGGCUUGGUGUUGGGGCACUACCCGUAACACGGUAGGCCCUGAAAUUCAGUGGCGGGCUCGCUAAGACUCUGAGCGUAGUAGUUUACCACCUCGCUUUGGAUGGACUAGCGGUGCUUUCUUGCCGUAAAACCCCCCAACUUCUGAAAAUUUGACCUCGGAUCAGGUAGGAAUACCCGCUGAACUUAAGCAUAUCAAUAAGCGGAGGA